AUGAAAUAUACGUACUUUUAACACAAACUGUCUGCUACACAGCAUGUAACAACUGGCAAAUAAAUUCAAACUUUAUUAAUUAAACAUUUUUCUUAACACGAUAUACAUUUAAAAAAUAUAGGGAACUGUAGGCUACUAUAGACAAUCGUCCACAGCACUGCAUUUACAUAUUGAUAAAGUUUCAAAAUGUCUUUUCCCUGUCAACCCUGUAAAAAACGGAAACUACACACGUAGAAACAAAUAAAAUUAUGUAUAUAACCCAAACCUCCUAACCACACCCCUACGCAACAUUAAUUUUAAAAAUAUGGGAAAAACAAUAAUCAAUGACAAAAAACGUGCUACGUAUUAAUUUUAUUUACCUUAAACCUUUACCCUAACUUUAUGUCUCCAGUACGCAAAUCGGUCAAAGUAAUAGACAAGGAAUUGUGAAACUCAGUCUACUUUGAUUCGGGUGAUUACCGGUCUCCUGUUUGUGAACAAUAAGACGCACUUAAAACCCUUUGAUUUAAAGGAUUACCUUUCCGUCUUACGAAGAAAAACGUGUAAGAGCCAAAGACAGGAAAUUUUAAAGGAAACGUCUUGUUUAAAAGAGUCUAGAAAGAAAACCACAUACACCUUUACCCUAACUUUAUGUCUCCAGUACGCAAAUCGGUCAAAGUGAUAGACAAGGAAUUGCGAAACUCAGUCUACUUUGAUUCGGUUGAUUACCCGUCUCCUGUUUGUAAACAAUAAGGCGCACUUAAAACCCUUUGAAAGGAUUAACUUUCCAUCUUAAAGACCCAGACAGGGACAUUUUAAAGGAAACGUCUUGGUUAAAAAGAAAAACACAUACAUCUAAGACUUUUCUUUAGUUUAAAUGCAUUUAAACAUUCUACCUUAAACCUUUACAACUAACUCACCUAAAGAGUUAUUAUUAUUAUUUUAAAGAUACAUAUAGGUACCAAAUGUAUAUCUAUACUUAAAUGUACAAAUUAAAACGUGUAUUGAUUUCUCAUUACUAUUUUUUAUACGAUUUUCGCACACCCAAUGCAAUAUUCCGACAAUUGGCACAAACGGUCAUGCUACUCACCAUGCAACAUAACAACUGCAACUUAAUUCAAACUUUAUUAGCUAAUUUGACCUUUUCCUCAACAUGAUUUACGCAUCACUACUAAUAGGGUAACAUCCACGCGGCUACAGUUAAAUAAAACUAGAUAUACAACUAGGCUAUAAUACCAAUUUUCCAACUCCUCAAAAAGGCUCCGCCUCUUUCUGAUUUCAGCCAUUAAGCUGCAUACUCUAAAAACAUCUCCGCCUUUAAAAACACACAAUUUCAACAUAACCGCAAACGCUUUCAAAACUUUACUCCUUACAUCAUAGCGACUGAAAGGAUGGCACUAAAAGAUAACGGCUGCACGUCUUUCUCAACUACAAUCAACAAGAAAGAAUUCUUAAUACCUCAAGAUCUUCAAGUCUGCAUUCUCACGGAUUCUAUGUGCCGAGAUAUAAACAACUAUCUACAACCCGCUCAUUGCUGGGUCCACCCAGGCACAACUCUUGUUCGAUCCGCCCGACAACACAUAAGACACUUUCACAUUCUGCGCAAAAACACGCUUGUACUAAUCCACAUAGGGACGAACGACAUCGCAUCAGGAGCAACGGCAAAUGUUAUCCUUGAACGUAUGCAAACACUUAUUAAAACAAUCUCGGAUGUUAACCAACAACUUAUAUAUUUUGCAAUCAGCGCAAUAUUACCGCGGAUGACAGACGACUGCACUACAAAAUCUACAAUCAGACAAUCCAACAACAUGAUGAAACAUUGGGCUUCACAAACGAACAACGUUGUUUUCCUCAAUACCACUAAACUUUUUCUCAAAAAUGGAACAAUUAUAUGCAGCCUCUACAGACAAGAUGGACUUCACUUGAAUCAACAAGGAAAAGUUAAACUUUUUACAUACUUUCAACGUUUCCUUUGGCAUUUUUGCCACUUCAAAACAUCGCAAAAAUGAUUAUUUGUCCACUAUUUUAUGUGUUUUUGACUAAAAUAAAGACUUGUUAGUGUGUAAUGUUCAUUUGACUAAAAUAAAGACUUGUUAGUGUGUAAUGUUCAUUUAUAUUAGAUUUAAAAGAGUUUCGGAUUUUAAUGACAUUUUAGUUACCUUUGUUCAGAAGAGCGGUUCUUGUGUUUAGACUAUGUGAAACAAUGAAACUCAUGAUGUGUGUAAAUUCAUCAAGUGAGCAAUAACUGUGUUUAUGCCACUACUAAAACUGGUCUUACUUGCUAAUCAUAAUGUAUUAUAUAAUAAUAAAUAUGUAAAGAAAAUAGUUACUUUUACAUGAUCUUGAAGCCUUAAAAAGUAGUUAAAAAUGUUGGUAACAAUAUUAUUCUAAAUAUUUU